GUGCUUUAUAAGGGGCGGCUGGACUCUCAGACUAAGCCAGUUCCCGUGGCCUCUGCUCGACAGACUUCCCAGCUCAGCUAUUGGCAAUCUGAAGCUGCUUUUGCAAUCUCUCUCUCUCUUUACAUCCUCUGCAACGUCUGGAUUUCCAUAAGCUUCUUAAAGAAAGUUCACUGCAGAAUUUGAGACUCGUUAACAAUGCCGAAAGGCGCUUUGAGAGAGAGAGAAAAAACACUGAUGAAUGGCCCCAGCGACUUGCCAUUAAAUUGAAAAGAGUGUGAUAUUUCCGGGAUGUGUGGUUUGAGAGGAUUGUGAUCAAACAGAGACAUUCGCCGCCCCCCCACCCCGCCCCCCACCAUGGCUCUGCCCUCCCUCUACAAAAAGCCACGUCAGGAAAAAGAAGAGGAACACUUCACUGUGACCCGGGACAGUAGUGGGUCAGACUUGGGAAGCUCAGGUUACAGAUCCUACAGGAGGCAGAUGGGACGAUCUCUGGGAGAUUGGAAGAUUCCCUCGCCUCUUUCUCUUUCUCUCUCUUUCUCUGUCUCGCUCGGUGUGAAUAGUUGGACGUUUCUUCCCCCACUUCCCCCCC